AAAAAAAGGAAAAGAGAAGAAAGAAACUCAAUUUUAACAGAUGCAGCAAAUCUAAUUCGAAUCGUGGUCGGUUGGAUCGUAUCGCAUAAACUAUUCCUCUAACAUCAAAUAAAUUAAUGAUUCCUUAGUUGGUGGUCUAAAAGUGUGUGUCGGUUAGCUUGCCAAUUGUUACGAAGUAAUAUUAUCGAAGAUUAUCAUUUCACAAAGUACAAAUUCGGUCCAGUAAUAUUUGAAUUCUGUAAACAAUUUAAAGAACAGGAUAGGAUUUCGCUGAAGUAAUAAAAGAAGAUAAAAAAAAGAAGAAAAAUGAAUUAGAUAUCGAGCACUUAUGUUGGUAUCUAUGCUCGGCUCAACUCCAGUCGCAAGUUCGUAAUCUUAUUUUGCGAUUAACCUUUCGCACGAUGACUCACCACUACCAUUACUACUAUUAGUACUGUUACAACUACUAUUAUUUCUAUUGCUACAACAACUACUGCUACUAGUAAUACUAUUAAAACUACUACUGUUACUGGUAGUACAAUUACAAAUAUUACUAUUACUAGUUGUCCUACUACAACAACUAUUACUUCUACUAGUACUACUACCAAUAGUCUAUUGCAAUUUUGACUAAUACUAUUACCAGUAAUCUACUACGAGUUUUACUAAUCAAUUAUUACGACUACUACGACCACCAAUACCACUACUACUACCACUGCUACCACCAACACACUACCAGCAGCAGAACUACCUCCAAUAUUCGCACUAUUCUAUUUAAGUUUAAGAUAGAGAUCACGAGCAGCGGAAUCCUUGCAUGAGACGUUAUUAUUAUGACUCGUUCUCGAGCUCGACGCUCCUCAAACUCGGCCAAAGCUCGUCCCGAGCCGAGGAAGUGCUCUCGGCUUGCCAAGGAGACGUUCUUUUGAAAAAUCCAAUUAUCCCUUCUACUCUGACACGUCGAUCGCCACGCACGUCCAUCUAUCAUACUUUUUCUUUUUCUAUCUUUCUUUUUUUUUCUUUUUCCCCGACAUUCGGCCUUUCGUCAAACUGCGACGUCACGUUUUAACCGUGCCAAAUAAUAAUACGUUCGUGACGUCACGGCCAAGACGAAAAUUCCUUUGGAAAUUUUCCUCAAGAUUUUUAAAACUAUUAACAACUAUCAAAUAAUAACAUUGGGAAUGAAAAUUUCCUUUUUCUUUAUUUUAAUUAAUCCAUUUAUCGUUUUACAUCUCUAUUCGUGAUCUUAUAUUAUAGAACAGAAAAUAAAAAUUAUUUGAUUU
rnacentral:lncRNA from 1 species